UACGUAGGGUGCGAGCGUUUGUCCGGAUUUAUUGGGCGUAAAGAGCUCGUAGGCGGUUUGUCGCGUCGGCCGUGAAAUCUCCACGCUUAACGUGGAGCGUGCGGUCGAUACGGGCAGACUUGAGUUCGGUAGGGGAGACUGGAAUUCCUGGUGUAGCGGUGAAAUGCGCAGAUAUCAGGAGGAACACCGGUGGCGAAGGCGGGGUCUCUGGGCCGAUACUGACGCUGAGGAGCGAAAGCGUGGGGAGCGAACAGG
rnacentral:rRNA from 1 species